UACGUAGGGGGCAAGCGUUGUCCGGAUUUAUUGGGCGUAAAGAGCGUGUAGGCGGCCAGACAGGUCCGUUGUGAAAACUGGAGGCUUAACCUCCAGACGUCGAUGGAAACCGUCUGGCUAGAGUCCGGAAGAGGAGAGUGGAAUUCCUGGUGUAGGCGGUGGAAAUGCGCAGAUAUCAGGAAGAACACCCGUGGCUAAGGCGGCUCUCUAGUACGGUACUGACGCUGAGACGCGAAGCGUGGGAGCGAACAGG
rnacentral:rRNA from 1 species